GGAAGAGACAAUUCACAAUCUGGAGUUGAAGAAUUGGAGGCUGGAAGCACAUAUUAGGCAGCUGACCUGUGAGAAUUCGAGAUUGGAGGAUGACAACUCAAAGAUGAAAGAACUUCAUCAAAGUAAAGAGGGUGUAGUUUUACGGCAGGAAGAAACGAUUAAAAAGCUGACAGAUGAGAAUUUGAG